rnacentral:rRNA from 1 species
GACGAACGCUGGCGGCGUGCUUAACACAUGCAAGUCGAACGGUAAGGCCCUUCGGGUACGACGAGUGGCGAACGGGUGAGUAACACGUGGGUGAUCUGCCCUGCACUUCGGGAUAAGCUUGGGAAACUGGGUCUAAUACCGGAUAGGACCACGGUCUGCAUGGAUUGUGGUGGAAAGCUUUUGCGGUGUGGGAUGGGCCCGCGGCCUAUCAGCUUGUUGGUGGAGUGAUGGCCUACCAAGGCGACGACGGGUAGCCGGCCUGAGAGGGUGUCCGGCCACACUGGGACUGAGAUACGGCCCAGACUCCUACGGGAGGCAGCAGUGGGGAAUAUUGCACAAUGGGCGCAAGCCUGAUGCAGCGACGCCGCGUGGGGGAGUGAAGGUCUUCGGAUUGUAAACCCCUUUCGGGAGGGAAGAUGGAGCGAGCAAUCGUUCGGACGGUACCUCCAGAAGCAGCCACGGCCAACUUCGUGCCAGCAGCCGCGGUAAGGUCGUCAUGU